rnacentral:rRNA from 1 species
UACGUAGGGGGGCUAGCGUUGUCCGGAAUCAUUGGGCGUAAAGCGCGCGUAGGCGGCCCGGUAAGUCGGUUGUGAAAACUGGGGGGCUCAACCCUCAGAGGCCGACCGAUACUGCCGGGCUAGAGUCCGGAAGAGGCGAGUGGAAUUCCUGGUGUAGCGGUGAAAUGCGCAGAUAUCAGGAGGAACACCAAUGGCGAAGGCAGCUCGCUGGGACGGUACUGACGCUGAGGCGCGAAAGCGUGGGGGAGCAAACAGG